UACGUAGGGGGCUAGCGUUGCUCGGAAUCACUGGGCGUAAAGCGCACGUAGGCGGAUUGCUAAGUCAGGGGUGAAAUCCUGGAGCUCAACUCCAGAACUGCCUUUGAUACUGGCGGUCUCGAGUCCGGGAGAGGUGAGUGGAACUGCGAGUGUAGAGGUGAAAUUCGUAGAUAUUCGCAAGAACACCAGUGGCGAAGGCGGCUCACUGGCCCGGUACUGACGCUGAGGUGCGAAAGCGUGGGGAUCAAACAGG
rnacentral:rRNA from 1 species